GACGAACGCUGGCGGCGUGCUUAACACAUGCAAGUCGAACGGUGACGGAGAGCUUGCUCUCCUGAUCAGUGGCGAACGGGUGAGUAACACGUGGGCAACCUGCCCCAGACUUCGGGAUAACGCUUCGAAAGAGGUGCUAAUACCGAAUACGAACGCCGUGGGCAUCCACGGUGUUGGACAGUUUUUCGGUCUGGGAUGGGCCCGCGACCUAUCAGCUUGUUGGUGAGGUAAUGGCUAACCAAGGCGACGACGCGGAGCCCGCCUGAGAGGGCGCCGUGCCAAACUGGGACUGGGACACGCACCGGCCGCUUGCGGGAUGCAGCGGUGGGGAAUAUUGCGCACCGGGCGAAAGCCGGAGGCAGCAACGCCGCGUGGGGGAGGAAGGCCUUCGGGUUGUAAACCUCUUUCAGCAGGGAAGAAGCGAAAGUGACGGUACCUGCAGAAGAAGCACCGGCUAACUGCGUGCCAGCCGCCGCCGUAA
rnacentral:rRNA from 1 species